GGGUGAUUAGCUCAGUUGGUUUAGAGCGCAUGCUUGACAGGCAUGAGGUCGGCGGUUCGAAUCCGCCAUUACCCA
rnacentral:tRNA from 1 species